rnacentral:rRNA from 1 species
GGCAGUCCGACCGGUCUGCCGAUGGGUAUGCACUGGCCGGAGUGUCCUUUUUGCCGGAGACCGUGCCUACUCUUAACUGAGCGGGGGCGGGAGACGGCACUUUUACUUUGAAAAAAUCAGAGUGUUUCAAGCAGGCAGCUCGCUCUUGCAUGGAUUAGCAUGGGAUAAUGAAAUAGGACUUUGGUGCUAUUUUGUUGGUUUCGAACACCGAAGUAAUGAUGAGAAGGGACAGUCAGGGGCACUCGUAUUCCGCAGAGAGAGGUGAAAUUCUCAGACCCGCGGAAGACGAACCACUGCGAAAGCAUUUGCCAGGGAUGUUUUCACUGAUCAAGAACGAAAGUUAGGGGAUCGAAGAUGAUCAGAUACCGUCGUAGUCUUAACCAUAAACCAUGCCGACUAGGGAUUGGAGGAUGUUCACUGAUUGACUCCUUCAGCACCUUACGGGAAACUAAAGUCUUUGGGUUCCGGGGGGAGUAUGGUCGCAAGGCUGAAACUUAAAGGAAUUGACGGAAGGGCACCACCAGGUGUGGAGCCUGCGGCUUAAUUUGACUCAACACGGGGAAACUUACCAGGUCCAGACAUUGUGAGGAUUGACAGAUUGAGAGCUCUUUCUUGAUUCGAUGGGUGGUGGUGCAUGGCCGUUCUUAGUUGGUGGAGUGAUUUGUCUGGUUAAUUCCGUUAACGAACGAGACCUUAGCCUGCUAAAUAGUGACGCGAACUCUUUGUUGGCGGGCCCACUUCUUAGAGGGACAACUUGUCUUUCACAAGUGGAAGUUUGAGGCAAUAACAGGUCUGUGAUGCCC